rnacentral:rRNA from 1 species
UGCCAGCCGCCGCGGUAAUACAGAGACCUCAAGUGGUCAGGAUGAUUAUUGGGCCUAAAGCAUCCGUAGCCGGCGCUAUAAGUUUUCGGUUAAAUCUGUACGCUCAACGUACAGGCUGCCGGGAAUACUGUAGCGCUAGGGAGUGGGAGAGGUAGACGGUACUCGGUAGGAAGGGGUAAAAUCCUCUGAUCUAUUGAUGACCACCUGUGGCGAAGGCGGUCUACCAGAACACGUCCGACGGUGAGGGAUGAAAGCUGGGGGAGCAAACCGGAUUAGAUA